UUGGUUGAAACCAAGCUCAAAUAAAUGUAGUUUCUUCUCGGAAAAAUGUUAAUGGAGGGUUUGAUAUUUCUGGUAAUCAUUGAAUAGGAGACCCUUCAAAACCAUGGAUAAACGUAAAUCAAACGUAACCACCAAAAUUAACAGAACCGUAAAACUACAGAAUAGAUUAGAAAACGAUUUUGGUUUUAGGAAUUUAGCUGUGGAGAAGAGAGAGAGGGUUGAGGGAGAAGAAGAAGAAAGAAAAGAAGUAGCAGCUGGAGCCUGGAGAUGGACUUAAUCCAACGGAUAACUAUAAAAAUACGCGUUGGACGAAUAGUACGUGCGGGAACGAAAAAUAAUUAGCGGUUUUUCAAAAGGGUUGUUGGCAUUAAAGGGGGAGAGAUUUUGAACAAUUUCAUUUACUUAUAACGAUUUAGUUGCAUAUCUGGAACUUAAUCGGCAGCAAUGUUUUCUCAAAAAUCACCAAUUAUGGUUUUGUUGAUUAAUUGUCAUUUAAAUAAGAUUUUAAUUAUCUUGGUUUUCCCCUGUUAAAAUUUGAUCUGAUCGUAGUAUUUUAUAUUUAUUUGUUUUGUCGAAGCUGUAAAGAGAAAGGGGAUGAUAUUGAGGUUCGCUACGAGAGGACUAAUAAAUGAAGAAUGUUGGAGAAACAGAUACCAAAAAGAUAAGCUGGAAGUGGAUCCUGUAUUCUAUCUUACUAUUAAAUCCUUGGAUGGAAAAUUAAUAUACAAAACUGCUUCAAAGGAAGCUAAGAGACCUGCAAAUGAUGAUGAUGGAGCGAAUGCAAUUGUUGUAAAGCUUACAAAGCCAGAAAGGAGAGCAAAGAUGAAGAAGACUAGGAAAGAGGCAAAGAAGCAGCAAAAAGGAGAUAGUUAGUGCAGAUGAGGUGGAAUUGGAAGCAGAUCCUCAACCUCAAGCAUUGGUAUUUUCUUUUUAUUACAGGCUGAGGUGAAAGAAGAACAUUCAGCUGAAGAAUUUCUUUUGAGUAAGAAGAGUAAACUAGCAGAGUUGGGAUUGGCGCUGUUUACUGAUCAGUUGUCGAAUAUUAAAUUCUUAAAAGAGAUGGUGUAGCUUUCCAAAGAUGAAAAUCAAGCAACUAGCUUGGGCUUCUCUCCUUAUUGGCUAUUUUCAUAGAUAUCAUUCCUGGUUAUCAGAUCAGACUUCCCCACCGACAAGGAGCUGUCGAGCAGGAGAUGAAUGUUUAGAAGGAAGUAAUAAAAAUGUGAUUCUUUGAAUUCACAUUGUUGACCUCUUAUAAGGUUUACCUUCAAGAGUCUAAUAGCCUUACUGAAGCAAGCAUCCUUCCAACAUGUUGCUGUGCGUUUCAUGUGUUUUUUGCUGGAUGCUGUUCCUCAUUUCAAUUUCUGUGAGAAUUUGCUAGCUGCUGUCAUCAAUAACAUGAGCUCCCAGAUGAUGUCAUAAGGUUGUGUUAGAUGUGAGCCUUAUGCUUUACUCUUUUAGGCUUGGCUUGAGAGUUUAUGUUUCUCUCUUUAGUUAUUGUUGCUUAGUAGUCCUGUACAGUUUAAGAGGUACUCGUCCUGUACAGUUUAAGAGAUACUCGUCCUGAGUAGGGUUUAUCUUUAUGAAGAUGCUUCGGUAAAGUAAAGGAAACUUUGCUGUCACAAUUUGUAGCAACUAUGGAGGCUGUUCAUUUGAUUGAAAAUCAUGUAAAGUUAUGCGAUCGUCGGCUGCAUCCUGAUACCAUUGAGGUUGCGAAGUGUGAUGGGUUUGCAUAUUUGGAGAAGAGGUGUCCCUCGAUAUUAAUUUGUUGAAGACUAGUGCAGUGGUAAAGGAAAAAUGAAACCUAAUACUUUGCUGGAAAGGAAUCUCAAAAACAACAACACCAACACCUGCCGCAGCAGCAACACCGGCCUCAGGGGGAUAAUUUCUGCGUGUUCCGACUCUGUGAUUAAUGAGUCGUGGCCUGUGAGAGUGACCACGUCAAGCAGGUCAGCUUUUGGUAAAUAGUAAAUUUUUCUGGUAAAUAUAACAAGGGUUAAAAGUGGAUGUAUUUGAUUUUUAACGUGUAAAUUUCUUUGGUAAAUAGUAACUUUCUCUUGUUCCGACUUUCAUACUUGUUAGGAACAUUACAAUGUGCAGGA